CUUUUGCAGGCAAUAGACAAUAUCAAAGCUAAAAUGUGUGAGGUGGAGGUCUUUAACAAUAUGGAUAGGAAGCUGAAAAUAUUCAGAGAGAGAAAGAGAGAACAGGAGACAAAAUGCCGUCCGAUUUGGAACUGAGAUUCAGCAGGUAAUACUGAACUGCAAGAUGUACAGGAGAGCAAUGCAAAAAGACAAGCCCAAGAAUUUGCCAGCCUGGAUGAAAAACUUCUAAUGGAAUCCAGCUUGAAAGCAAGUCAAGGGCAGCUAAGCAAGCAGAGAGCAGAGAGAGUUUCCCAGAGCAGUAGGAAAUGGCAGAGACAGAGAAUGCUGAAGCCUCUAAGAAAAUGCAUUAUAGAUUCUCACGAAGAAUUAGUGAUUACAAAAAACAGAUAUUUUUGAAGACAAGAAAUUCAAGUAUCAAGUAUUUUUUUGGAAUAUAUAACAACAGGUAUAUAAAUUUCAGUUGGUUGCUCCAAGAUGUGAGUAAUUAGAGAAGCCCAUCUCUAUCUCUGCGCCUUAUCUAACA